AUGCACGCUAGCUACAGGCUUAACCCAUGCAAGUCGAGGGGAAACGACAUCGAAAGCUUGCUUUUGAUGGGCGUCGACCGGCGCACGGGUGAGUAACGCGUAUCCAACCUGCCCAUCACUUGGGAAUAACCUUGCGAAAGUAAGACUAAUACCCAAUGAUAUCCCACGAAGGCAUCGGAAUGGGAUUAAAGAUUUAUCGGUGAUGGAUGGGGAUGCGUCUGAUUAGCUUGUUGGCGGGGUAACGGCCCACCAAGGCAACGAUCAGUAGGGGUUCUGAGAGGAAGGUCCCCCACAUUGGAACUGAGACACGGUCCAAACUCCUACGGGAGGCAGCAGUGAGGAAUAUUGGUCAAUGGGCGAGAGCCUGAACCAGCCAAGUAGCGUGCAGGAAGACGGCCCUAUGGGUUGUAAACUGCUUUUAUAAGGGAAUAAAGUGGGUCACGUGUGACUUUUUGCAUGUACCUUAUGAAUAAGGACCGGCUAAUUCCGUG
rnacentral:rRNA from 1 species